UACGUAGGGUGCGAGCGUUAAUCGGAAUUACUGGGCGUAAAGCGUGCGCAGGCGGUUUUGUAAGCCAGAUGUGAAAUCCCCGGGCUUAACCUGGGAAUGGCAUUUGGGACUGCAAGGCUGGAGUACGGUAGAGGGGGAUGGAAUUCCGCGUGUAGCAGUGAAAUGCGUAGAUAUGCGGAGGAACACCGAUGGCGAAGGCAAUCCCCUGGACCUGUACUGACGCUCAUGCACGAAAGCGUGGGGAGCAAACAGG
rnacentral:rRNA from 1 species